UGCCACUUAGCUCAGAGGAAGAGCAGAUGACUGUUAAUCAUCAGGUCGGGAUUUCGAAAUUCCCAGUGGCAG
rnacentral:tRNA from 1 species